GAACGGCAGCACGGGGGCAACCCUGGUGGCGAGUGGCGAACGGGUGAGUAAUACAUCGGAACGUGUCCUGGAGUGGGGGAUAGCCCGGCGAAAGCCGGAUUAAUACCGCAUACGCUCUGUGGAGGAAAGCGGGGGAUCUUCGGACCUCGCGCUCAAGGGGCGGCCGAUGGCAGAUUAGCUAGUUGGUGGGGUAAAGGCCUACCAAGGCGACGAUCUGUAGCUGGUCUGAGAGGACGACCAGCCACACUGGGACUGAGACACGGCCCAGACUCCUACGGGAGGCAGCAGUGGGGAAUUUUGGACAAUGGGGGCAACCCUGAUCCAGCAAUGCCGCGUGUGUGAAGAAGGCCUUCGGGUUGUAAAGCACUUUUGUCCGGAAAGAAAACCUCCGGGUUNAAUACCCCUGGGGGGAUGACGGUACCGGAAGAAUAAGCACCGGCUAACUACGUG
rnacentral:rRNA from 1 species